GACGGGGAGCACCACAACGGGUGGAGCUUGCGGUUAAUUGGAUUCAACGCCGGAAAUCUUACCGGGACCGACAGCAAUAUGAAGGCCAGGCUGAAGACUUUGCCGGAUUAGCUGAGAGGUGGUGCAUGGCCGUCGUCAGUUCGUACUGUGAAGCAUCCUGUUAAGUCAGGCAACGAGCGAGACCCACGCCCACAGUUGCCAGCGUACUCUCUGGAGUGACGGGUACACUGUGGGACCGCCGCUGCUAAAGCGGAGGAAGGAAUGGGCAACGGUAGGUCAGUAUGCCCCGAAUAUCCCGGGCUACACGCGAGCUACAAUGGUUGGUACAAUGGGUAUCUACCCCGAAAGGGGACGGGAAUCUCCUAAAACCAAUCUUAGUUCGGAUUGAGGGCUGCAACUCGCCCUCAUGAAGCUGGAAUCCGUAGUAAUCGCGUUUCAACAGAACGCGGUGAAUACGUCCCUGCUCCUU
rnacentral:rRNA from 1 species